UAUUAAUGAGAACCUAAGAUGCCUGACCAACCUUUUUGAAAUAUUGAUGAGCAAGAGUAUACUAAUUCUUCAUUUAUUUAGUAAUUUCUGCUCUCUUGAAAAUAGAUGAGAAUCAUACACUAAGGUUAGAAUGACUUGGAGCAACCUCAUAGGUGUUACAGAGUACUUGUAAUUUGCUUAUAGGAGAAAAGUGUCCGUUCAUUUAUUAUCUGACUUUUAUUUCUCUUUUUUUAAAAAAGGUCCCUUUUUCAUGAAAAAAGUUGUAUUUCUUGUGUAUUAAGAAUUAGACCUAAUUUCAAAAAUUACUGUAACCUCAAAAGCACUUUUAAAAUAUAUUUGUAUGUUAUGUAAUCUCAAGAACAUCUAUUUAUAUUUGAAAAGUAGAAGUGCAUAUUCAGUAUGUAAAAAAUGCUAACUGUGCUCCUGCAUUUGUGAACACUUUAAUAACUUAGUCUUUCCAGGAACAGGUUGUCUACAUCAUGAAAACUAUUGAGUAUCUCAGAGGAGUACAUGGAGAAAAGUCAGAUAAACGUGAAAGGAGAGUUACUAUUAAAUAACAAAUAAGGAACUCAGGGCAUAGCAUUCUGAGAGGCUGUUUGUUGUUGUUGCUGGAGCAUUUAACUCUAGAUAACCUCACUAUGCCCUAAAAUAUUAUGUUACAGGAUAGUAUAUAGUGGAAUAUAGAUAUAAAACAUGCUAAAGCAGAAGGGGAAAAAUGAGCAUUGACAUCUAUAUACUUCCCAUACAGUGCAUGAAUAUUAAUAUUAACAUGCAGAGACAAAUUCCAUUGAUUAAAGAACAUGUUGCAGUGACUUGGAAGUUUAAUUUUAUUUAUCAUCUUGUCAGUGAAGAGAGUUAGCAUAUAUGAUAACUCUUCUUACCAAGGAAUCUUCAUGUCCCUUUGUGUUGAGAAUUUUUUUUCUACUUUGUCACCCAGUUUUUUUCUCGUAUGUGUCUUUCAGACAAGACGUUGAGCAAGUAAGUGGCAAUGGAAUUUAAAGUAACAUAAAUUGAGAGGGCAUAUUAAAAUUACCAGAGUUGAAAGGAAGAUUAGUAGGUUUAAUAUUUAUAAAUAUUUUUAACAGAAGUCUGUCAAUUUUAGUUUGCAUUUGGGUACUACUUUCUCAAUUAUAAGUGAUCUUUAAAAGUCUUAGUUUGGAAAUUUAAAUACAUUUUGAAUUUAAUGAAAGAACAUGAUUUAUUUUUGAACUACAUAAAAAUAAAAUAUUCCAGCUUCCAGCAUUAAGAAACUUUUAAUAUUCGGACCACAACGUAGUUGGAGCUAUAACAGCCUCAAAGUUAGGGACCACAUCUGUUUUAUUCUCUCCCUGUUAUAUUUGCUUUGUAUUCUGUAUGGUGCUUAACAUGGUGUCUUUCAUACAGCAAAUGUUUAAUAAGUGAUGCUUCCUGAAGAAAGGAUUUUAACAGUACUUCUGACAGAAAUCUGGUAAUAGAGUAUAUUGUCACUGUGACCAUCCUGCUGAAAAUCUUUAGAAACCAAACAUAAUUUUGCAAGUCCAGGCACCAAUUGUUUUAAAAUUAAGACAACAGGAGUAUACAUGUUCUUGUCUGUGAUUGGGACAACUUGUAAGCCUAAUUGUUAGACUUCAGUUUUAUAAGUUAAACAUUUAGAUGUUGUUUUGACAUUGCAAGCUUUGACCACUUUGUUAAAACAGCUGAAACUAAGUGCUCGUAUUUAUGCUAAAGUAGGCUCUAUUUUAAUGCUUAUUUUGUACUAGGCAUGGCUCUAAGUGGUUUACAUGUAUUAACUCAUUUAAUCCUCACAAAAGCCCUGUGAAGGGAGGUUCAAGCUGAAGGGCCAAAUAGGAAAUCCAAAAGUCUCAUUUAUUAAUGGCAUUUUAUGAGAGCCAUAGUAUUUAUUAAAACAUAGAGUUGUCAUUGGGAAUAGAAAGCUAAAUAGAAACUCAACUCAUGAAUCUGAAAAUGAUCCAUUAAUAUAUACUAUUGUCUGAAGCCUGCCAGCUGCUGGGAACAUUGGGAAGGCAUGGUAUUUGUCUUCAAUAAACCAUUUUCUUUGUCAGGUUCA